UACGGAGGAUCCAAGCGUUAUCCGGAAUCAUUGGGUUUAAGGGGUCCGUAGGCGGCCCGAUAAGUCAGUGGUGAAAUCUCCCGGCUCAACCGGGAAAUGGCCAUUGAUACUGUCGGGCUUGAAUUAUUAGGAAGUAACUAGAAUAUGUAGUGUAGCGGUGAAAUGCUUAGAUAUUACAUGGAAUACCGAUUGCGAAGGCAGGUUACUACUAAUUGAUUGACGCUGAUGGACGAAAGCGUGGGUAGCGAACAGG
rnacentral:misc_RNA from 1 species